rnacentral:ncRNA from 1 species
AUAAAAUAAUUAUGUUUUUGGAAAUUUAUUAUAAAUUUAUUUUACAUAUAAAUUUUAGUAUAUAAUUUUAAUUAUUUAAAUAAUAAUUAAUUUAUUUUAAUAGUAAUUAAUAUUAAAAAUUUAAGAAAUUAAGAUUUAGUAAUAUAAAAAUUAAUAACUAAUUUUGUGCCAGCAGUUGCGGUUAAACAAAAGUUAAAUUAAAUUAUUUCAGUAUAUAAUAAAUAAUAAAAUUAUUAAAAUAAAUAUUAAAUUAUUAAGUGAAAUUUUAAUUUAAUUAAAUUUUAUUUAAAAUUUAUGAUUUAAUAAAUUUUAAUAUAAACUAGGAUUAGAUACCCUAUUAUUAAAAAUUUAAUUUAUAAUACUAAAAUAGUAAAUAAUAAUUUAUUGAAACUUAAAUAACAUGGCGGUAUUUUAGUUCAUUUAGAGGAAUCUGUCUAAUAAUUGAUAAUCCACGAAUAAAUUUACUUAAUUUAUAAUUUUGUAUAUCAUUGUUAAAAAAAUAUUUUUUAGGAAAAAUAAUAUUUAAAAAUUAUAAUAGGAAAUUAAAUCAGAUCAAGAUGCAGAAUAUAAUUAAGAAUAUGAUGGAUUACAUUAAAUAUAUUUAUAUGAAUAAUUUUAUUGUAAUAAAAAUUUGAAGGUGGAUUUAAAUGUAAUUUUAAUUAAUUUAUUAAAAUGAUUAAAAAUUAAAAUAUGUACAUAUUGCCCGUCACUUUCAUUUAAAAAUUGAAAUAAGUCGUAACAAAGUAGAGGUACUGGAAAGUGUUUCUAGAAAGA